rnacentral:rRNA from 1 species
CUACGGGAGGCUGCAGUUGAGGAAAUUUUACAAUGCUCGCAAGAGUGAUAAAAUGAGCCAGAGUGUUUCUCUUAGAGAAACUUUUGUCUGUUGUAAAAAGACAGAUGAAUAAGGACUGGGUAAGACCGGUGCCAGCCGCCGCGGUAAUACCGGCGGUCCAAGUUGCAUCCACAUUUAUUGGGUCUAAAACAUCCGUAGCUUGUUUUAUAAGUCUCUUGUGAAAUCUCAUAUCUCAAGUGUGAGGCAUGCAAGAGAUACUGCAUUACUAGAGACCGGAAGACGCAAAGAGUAUGAUUAAGGUAGCGGUAAAAUGUGUUAAUCUUAUUCAGACUAACAAUGGCGAAGGCACUUUGCGAGUACGGAUCUGACAGUGAGGGAUGAAGGCUAGGGGCGCAAAAGGGAUUAGAUACCCUGGUAGUC